rnacentral:sRNA from 1 species
CCCGAAAUUAACCAUUUGAUAAUCUUUCCACGGUAAACACAGGGUUAUCCAGUCCUCUGGAUUCGAGUGGUUUCCUGUCCACUCUGUUUGACGCCUCCCUGUUAACCAAACUGAGCCGUCGUCAAGGCGGCUCUUUCUUU